AAUUUAAAUUUUAAUUGAUUAAUUAAAUAUAGAGUCUGCCUUUUGGGACACUAUGAGACGCUACGGAAAAAAGAAGAAAUUCAUAACCUUAGCAUCUGUUGUGGCAGACUCUAUAUUUAAUUAAAUUAAAUAUAAAAAAAGAAACUAAUUGUUAAGCGCCCAAUGUUUUUCACAAAUUUUCAUUUUCCCACAUUUUUUUCAUUCCCAUUCUUAUAAUAACAUUUUAAAUUUUAUAUCAUAAUUUUUUUCUUCACAAAUUUGUUUCUUAACAUACAUAUUUUCCCAAAAACAUAACAUUUCACAAAAACGAAAAGCAAAAUGAGUGAGACGAUUCCGACGACCUAAUCGCACAAUACACUGCCGUUCAAUCCUCCUCCGCUGUUCAAUCUCCUCCGCCACCGUUUAUUCUCCUUCGCCACNNN
rnacentral:lncRNA from 1 species